UUUUUAUUUCUCUACUUUUUUAUUUCCAAACCUCUACACACUUCAGACCAUCCUGUUACCGUCUUCCUCUUCUUCUUCUAAUCAAUUUUCUAAAACCUAGUUGAAAAAAUUGGUAAAGACCGAACCUUGAACACUACCACCUCUUUCCAACGCAACCUCCUACAAGAGCCUCAACGAAUGGAAGGAGCCUCUCAGUCGCCGGAAGAGCGAAGUCGGAGACCGAGUGAUAAUGGUCGUGCGACGAUGCGGUGCUCCGACCAUUCUAGUGACGGAGCCUCUCCGACCAUUCCAGUGACCCAGUGAUAAUGGUUGCCGGAAUCGCCGACUCAGUCGAGGAUCCUCUAUUAACUCGAUCAGGGCCGAAUUCGUCUCUAGGCUUCCCGACAAGGUCCAUUCUGGUCUUGACAUUGAGUCCAGUCCCGACAAUAUCCACCUAACUCGGACCAGUGGCUUGAGUGGAGGUUUGUUUCAACUUCAAUUAAAGAAAAAUCAGUUUGGUUACUAAGAAAAUGCACUCAAGGUAUGUGUCAGAGGAGGUUUGUUUGAAAAGUCUAGAGAAUUGUUAGCUGAACUGCAAGGUAAGGGCUACGCCGAAGAUGAGGUAAACUUGUACAGUUGUACUGUUACAGCUAUCAUUUAGUUUCAUAGUCCUAGGUUUUCUAGUUUGUAAUUACUAUGAGAUUUUCUCUUUGAGAGCAUUUGUUUAACCUCAAAUGUGUUGGAAUUAAGUUGCAUCAUCAUUAAAGUUCAGUGUGGAACUAGUUUGGAUUGAAGAAGCUCCUUGGACGCCAAUCCGCCACCGCACUCCAAACCCACACCCACGGUGGCGCCACUGUAGCAAAGCAAAGUGAAGCACAUAUCCAAAAAUGGAGGUAUCGAUACUUGGUGCUAGAAUGCAACAUAUCAUGCCUUGCUCCUUCCCAUUACCAUAUUCCUUCUCUCCUUCCAUCUCAACUACACCAAAUAAUUCUUAUCUCAUUUAUGCUAAAGCUUCACCAACAACGACAACAACUUUUGUUAAAGGAGAAAACAUAGAACAACCCAACAAUGGCGAAGUGAAACGUAACAGGACUCCUUCAAAAUCUUACUCAGCCAGAAAGUUUGCUAUUCUUGAAAUUCAACUAUCCCCUGAUUUGGAUUCUGCUCUUACAAGCUAUGGAGAUAUUUUAAAAGUUCAGGACUUGAAUGUAAUAUUACGUCAUUUUGGAAUGCGAAAGAGAUGGCACAAGCUUUCCCAGGAUUCUUUUUGCUUUUAUUGCAGUGCUUCAAUUGGAUGUAACAAAAUAUGAAGAUUUUUCCUGCAUCAUUUAGCAACUAUAUAAAGUUCACGGGAGAGACUCACAAUCCUGUGGGUGCACUAGAAGUUUAUAAUAGCAUUCAGGAUUAAUCAACCAAAAAGAAUAUCGUCAUCUGCAAUUCUGUUCUUGGGAGUUUGGUUAGGAAUGGAAAGUUUGAUCACAACAUUAAGUUUUUUGGUCAGAUGAAGCAGGGUGGUUUAAUACCAGAUGUUGUUACAUAUAGUACUUUACUUUCAGGUUGUAUCAAAGCUAAACAAGGCUAUCCAAUAGCAAUGGAACUUGUUCAGAAGUUGCAGCAAAAUGAUGUGCAGAUGGACAAUGAAAUUUAUGGGACUCUUCAUUUAUCCUUGUUCACUUCAGGAAGACCUUAAAAUAAUAAUACAAACAGAUAAGUAUUUAUCUUAGUUUUCCAUAUGGAUUCAUGGGUUAUUAUUUUUUUGUUAUAACUGUGUUGGAAGUAAAAUCAUUUGGAUUACAUGUUUGCAUUUGGUUAUGUUGUUUUUGUCAUUGGCAUAUGCUCCAUCAUACUUAGUGGAAUCUUGUCAUUUUUUGCUUAUUAUUUUUUUUCAUUUGCUUAAAGCAAUUUUCUAUACCAUUUGCCAAUUAUUUGUUUGAAUUCUCCCCUUGUCAUUGUAUAUAUAGUCCAAAUCCAAUAAAUCUAUAAAUUGGACUUACUACUGUUAUAUGCCCUUACCAUUGUUAUUUACAUGAAUUCUAGUUUUACUCCAGUCAUUGGUUCAUAAAGGAGAAAUUAAUUCCACAAAUCUAUGUUGACCAGUAGUUUGGUUUAGAGAAAAGUUUUGCAUUUAAUCAACUAGACUAUGUUCUUACUUGUUCUGGUUCAUCAACUUGGCUAAUGGAAUAUCCACUAAUUAAAUAUCUAUGAGCUGAGUACUCAAGUCUCAGAGCAUCUUAUUAAUUUAAGUAUUACUAGUGAAUAGUUGUUUAAAUCUGAUUUCAAUUUGGCUGGUGCCUUGUUACUUAAUGAAAUUCUUUGAUGAUAUUUCUUAUGAACAGUCUAAACAUGUGCUCUAACUAUCUUUGAUAGAAAAUGCUCUGUUGAGGUUAGGUUUCUUCAUUCAUGUUUUGUCUAGUGCAACUUAAGCAGUUUAUUCAUUUUAGGCUUGUUGUUCAGAAACUUUAACCCAAGGAUCCUGCACUAGCAAUUAAAAUCAUUGAAGAGAAACCAUUCGUUUGAGCAGCUUUUAUUUACACUUUAAUUGUAAACAUGUUUAAUUUAUUAAGUAUGUUUGACAGUGGUUAUUGUAAUCCUAGUGAUGACUAAGUGAUUAUAAUGCAUUUAUAUAGUAAAUGCAAUAUGAUCUUCUACUUUAGUGGCAGCUAUGAUUAUGGCAGUGAAAACAUUUGAUAACUACUGAAUUUUAAUUGGAUUUUUUUUUUGUCGAUAAUAGAUACUUGUGACAGACUUUGAAUUCUUUAGUUUUGACUAUUAGGAACUGGUGUAGUGCUAUGAAUGUAUGGCCUGUCCUUAUUGUUGAGACAAGCAAUGCUUUCAGGGCUUUAUAUAGGGCAUUCUAACAUCAUCUGAACAGAAGGGCUUUUUAUUUCCCUUGUGCACACUAUAAAUGAUUAAUGGAAAUAUUGUAGUACUUUUAUUACUACAAAUUUUAUCUAUUAAGUAGCUGCUAGAUCUGUUAUGUUUUUCUAUGAAUCUGUUAGUCUUACUCUAAUUUUUAGCUCAUUAUAAGUGAUAUAUUCUCUUUUUCUAUUUAACACUUCAAUAUAUUUCAAUAAAGUUCAGUUCAUUCAUUCUCUAUCCUCUAUGAUUUUCUCAUUCACAUUCAUUUCUGAAUUUAACUGUUUGUUUUGUGGGAAAUUCAUAUGCUUAGAUUUUUCUUUCUUAAUAGGCAGAUAUGACCAUGUUAGAAGACGAACUACCAACAAAAAGAUGACUUUCAUCAGCCCUUGUCAAGGUAUAUUGAGAUGAUUUCUUUGGAGCAAUUCUUGACAACAUUUGUAGUUGAGGCCUUUAGAAUGGAAGAAUGUAUUUCACUAAUUUUUGUAUACAUUUCUUGUUUUGUAUUUAGUGAUAAAGGAAUCUGAAUUGGGCAUAAAUUAUGUUGUAAUAUGAUUUCUUAAGCCUAGACUAGUAGACUAAAUAUUUUAAUUACAUUUGAGUAAUUAAUAAAAAUCUAUAUAUGUUACCUUA